GAUGAACGCUGGCGGCGUGCCUAUACAUGCAAGUCGAGCGAACAGACGAGGAGCUUGCUCCUCUGACGUUAGCGGCGGACGGGUGAGUAACACGUGGAUAACCUACCUAUAAGACUGGGAUAACUUCGGGAAACCGGAGCUAAUACCGGAUAAUAUAUUGAACCGCAUGGUUCAAUAGUGAAAGACGGUUUUGCUGUCACUUAUAGAUGGAUCCGCGCCGCAUUAGCUAGUUGGUAAGGUAACGGCUUACCAAGGCAACGAUGCGUAGCCGACCUGAGAGGGUGAUCGGCCACACUGGAACUGAGACACGGUCCAGACUCCUACGGGAGGCAGCAGUAGGGAAUCUUCCGCAAUGGGCGAAAGCCUGACGGAGCAACGCCGCGUGAGUGAUGAAGGUCUUCGGAUCGUAAAACUCUGUUAUUAGGGAAGAACAAAUGUGUAAGUAACUAUGCACGUCUUGACGGUACCCAAUCAGAAAGCCACGGCUAACUACGUG
rnacentral:rRNA from 1 species